rnacentral:rRNA from 1 species
CGUAGGGUGCAAGCGUUAAUCGGAAUUACUGGGCGUAAAGCGUGCGCAGGCGGUGAUGUAAGACAGUUGUGAAAUCCCCGGGCUCAACCUGGGAACUGCAUCUGUGACUGCAUCGCUGGAGUGCGGCAGAGGGGGAUGGAAUUCCGCGUGUAGCAGUGAAAUGCGUAGAUAUGCGGAGGAACACCGAUGGCGAAGGCAAUCCCCUGGGCCUGCACUGACGCUCAUGCGCGAAAGCGUGGGGAGCAAACAGGAUUAGAUACCCUGGUAGUCCACGCCCUAAACGAUGUCAACUGGUUGUUGGGUCUUCACUGACUCAGUAACGAAGCUAACGCGUGAAGUUGACCGCCUGGGGAGUACGGCCGCAAGGUUG